CAGACAGAAGGUGGUGGCUGCCAGAGAGGCUAAGGACCAUCCUGUGUCAGCAGCAUAGUGGUGUAAGAAGCUGCCAAGGAGCAGGAUCUGAAGGACUGUGGUAAGACUGCUGAGGGAAGUCUCACCAAUGUAUUUUAUGAGGCACCUGUCACCUUAGUAUUUAAGUGUGGAGAGCAACAGUCCUCAUAAAGGUAGAUAUGUUAGAAGACAUCCCAUCUUACUGCUUCAGAACAGAAGACCAAAGGAUUCUGGUGAUGGUCGGCACAGAUAACACUUAAAGGCUUGCAGCCCAUAUGCUUUCCAACAUUCCUUUGUAUCUACUGGAGUUCCAGGCAUGAAAUGGCUGCAGCAUUAGCCCCAAUUAACAGUGAUUAAACCCGUGAUCUCUGAAGCACCAACAUCUAAAGAAGUAAUUUUAUUUAUAAAGUACCCUCCCUCCUCUGCAGAUGUGCUUGGAUGCUACCUAAUACAUUCUAAUAUUUCAAAGACUUAUAAAAACUUACAAGAAAAAUCUCAGUCUGAUAAAGGAAAAAACCUCUAAACAAAGCAGGGUUGGGUGGAAAAGGAAGGGUCAUUUUCUGACUGACGAUCAUUGUAAUAUUAAUAAUGGAGUUGCCUACAAUUAGGAGAAGUGGACUGAGGAGAAUGUCAAGAAAGAGUGGGUACAACAGUGUAGGAGUCAUCAGAGCCAAGGUGUGAUUGCUUGCCAAUCUAGGGGCCACGAUAGGGAAUCCUUAAAAGAUGGAUAGUGACACAAAACAAGGCCAGGGGAGCAGAGGGCAAAGCAAAGAGGUGGAGCAUGGGGGAAAAAACAUAAUUAAGCAGAGGAGGAUACUGUUUUCUAUCUGGACAAAGACUGUCAUGUCCCCUAGAUUUAGGGACGUGUGUGUGAAGCCAUCCCCUCUGUACUGUUGCAGUUCCAGCCCCUGCCUGCUCAAACAGCACUGCUCCAACAGGAGCCAUGUUUCCAUAGGCCUCCACCCAGACCUGCACAAACCUUGCUCCUUCUCUGAGAGAAGUGCAAGUGUAAAAGCUGAACCAUCAGGCAGGGCCUGUAUGCUUCAAUAUGCAGCGGCUCCCUUGGUCCUUUCCUGCCCCAAAUAUAUGCAGAGUUAUGACCCUGUGCAGCUUCUGUGGAAAGGGCCAUUUCAAGCGUGGGUGAUAUCUAUUGCAGCCUGU